rnacentral:rRNA from 1 species
CACGGUAGGGGGCGAGCGUUGUCCGGAUUCAUUGGGCGUAAAGCGCGCGCAGGCGGCUCGGAAAGUCGGAUGUGAAAUCCCGGGGCUCAACCCCGGGCCUGCAUCCGAUACUCCCGGGCUGGAGGCAGGUAGGGGAGAGUCGGAAUUCCGUGGUGGUAGCGGUGAAAAUGCGCAGAUAUCAGGAGGAACACCGGUGGCGAAGGCGGAUCUCUGGGCCUUACCUGACGCUCAGGCGCGAAAGCUAGGGGAGCGAACUGG